UACGUAGGUGGCAAGCGUUGUCCGGAUUUACUGGGCGUAAAGAGCGCGCAGGCGGUCGUUCAAGUCGUGCGUGAAAGACCCCGGCUCAACUGGGGAGGGUCGUGCGAUACGGGCGGACUGGAGGCCAGUAGGGGGGAUGCGGCGAAUUCCGGGUGUAGUGGUGGAAUGCGUAGAGAUCCGGAGGAACACCAGCGGCGAAGGCGGCAUCCUGGACUGGUCCUGACACUCAGGAGCGAAAGCGUGGGGAGCGAUCCGG
rnacentral:rRNA from 1 species